AAAAAAAAAGGUAUUCAUUAGAAUGAAAACAAAAAUCUAAUUAUCAGGAAAAAAUGAAAAACAUAUGCAUGGGAGGGGAUAAGGCUAAUUUGAAAGGCUUUUUUAACAAGUGUAAAAAAAAGCAAAACAUAAUAUGAUGCUGACACCAAAUAUAUUUAUCAUCAUAAUAAAUAUAAAUAAAUUAUCUCAACCAUUAAGAGAAAGUGAAGCCUAACUCUGUAUAAAAGACAUAACUGAAAAAGUGAUUCAGUGAUUCAGAAGGGAAAAUUGAAGGAUGGGCAAAAUUUUACUAAGCAAAUACAAGUAGAAAGGGAAGGUCAUAAUUUUAAUACCAGACAAGAUUGUAUUCAGGCUCCAAAUCACUAAAUGAUACAAAAAAGUUUACUUUCUAAAACAAGAUGAUAAAACUGAAAAUGAAAAUAUACUAGUUAUGAAUCUGUAUUGUAUACCAUAUAACUUGGAUACACUGUUCAAAGACAAAAACUAUUGAAAAAGAUUUCUGCUUUUCGUUUGGAUACAGGAAGUGACAAGAGAAUGUUCCUUCCCUCCUAAAAAUGAGAUACAGCUGGAUAACCUAAUAACAACAAUAACACUUUUCUUGAACCUAUCAGAGAGUUGAGUUGCAAGGCAACCUAUUGAACUGAAUUUUAAAAAAUCACAAGUUCCUCUAAAGAGAUGGAACACAUGAAAUGCUUCACCUUUGGCAGAGAAUGAGAGGAAGAUGUGACUUCCAUUAAAGCAGCAUUUUCUAUUUCUUGCAUGUCUUUUGGGAUACUGAACAGCUGAAACUACACUAAACCACAAAGAAAUCUGAGGUUACUAAAUAGUGUCAAGGAAUGUUCUGCAUCUCUUUCUCUCUGCCUUACAGAGAAUACUCCCAGACUCAGAGAAGUAAUAAAUGGAACAGGAUCUUCAGCACUUAAACAAUGUUGUCUAUGUUUGCAUUUAAAAGAUACUAAAUCCUUCAUACCAAAGGACAUGUUUUCUAUUAAACAUUUAAAUUUUUCACUUUGAAUAGAAGUCCAGUUGUAUUGAAAAAAAACAAAAAAAACAAGAAGCCUUCAAUAGCACCAUAAACCAAUAUCAUAGCAAAAAAAAAAAAGAUCCAUUUAAAAAGAAUAAUGGUGACUAUCAAAUAUAUAGAGUAGAAAAAAUUAUUGUGGGAAGACAAUGAGAUAUGGAGUCAGCCUGCACUGGUCUUAAAACUGAGUAUAGCUCGUCAUAGAAAAACUGAGCCCCCAUCUCCUUAGCUCUGAACUAGGAAUAACAUCAACUGGGCAGUUGUGACAAUCAAGUGACAUGAUUGGGCAUGCAUCAUAAUCCACAUCUGUUACUUAUGUAGUGAUUUGUGGUCUGAUCUAAAGUUUGUACUUUAGGCAAGUAGUCACAGUUAAAAUAGUAUGUUGACAGAAAUUUGAACUAUGUUGUUAGGGGACUAGUGUUAUGUGAAACCCAUGCAUGUCAAAAUGUGCAAAAUAGGACUGUCUACUCUCAAUUUUUUUUUUCCUACUGGCCUUUAUGCUAUUGUCAUAUAUUUAACUUUUACGUUGUAAACCCAACAUUGUUAUUUUUGUAUAGUCAAUUAUCUUAUAAAAGAUUUAAAUAAUUUUAAGAAUCUCAUACAUUAACCCAUGUGUUUAUCAUUUCCAGUGUUCAUCAUUCUCUUCUGUAAGCCCACAUUUUCAUUUAAUAUUUUCUGUCUGCUUGAAGGACAUCCUUUAAUAUUUCUUGUAGUGCCAGUGAUGAAUUAAUUCUUUCAGAUUUGGUAUGUCUGAAAACAACUUUAUCUCAUCUUUGCCUCUGAAAGACAUUUUGCUGGGUAUAGAAUUCUAGGUAGACAGGUUUUUUUCCUUUUAGUGUUUUCAAGAUGUUUAUCCAUUGUCUUGUCAGAUUGUUUCUAAUAAGAAUUCUGACAUAUUCAUCUUUGUUCCUUUGUUCUUCUCUUUUUUGACUGCUUCAUGAUUUUAUCACCAGUUAUGAUAUGGCUUGGUAGUUUUCUUCAUAUCUCUUAUGCUUGGAGUUCAUUGACUUUCUUCUAUUUGUAGGUUAAUAGUUUUCAUGAAAGUCUGGAAAUUGUUAGGCGAUUAUGUCUUGUUUGCUAUCCUCUCUGCCUUCCUCCUUCAGAGACUCUAAUUAAUCAUACAUUAGGCUACUUGAAAUUGUUCUACAACUCACUGUUCUUUUUUCUCAUUUUGAGUAAUUCCUAUUGAUAUGUCAAGUUCAUUAGUCACUAAUCUGCAAUGUCUAAUUGCCAUUAAUCCUAUCUACUGUACUUUCACCUCAGACAUUGUACCUUUCAUCUCUAAAAGUUUGUGUUUAGUCUUUUUAAUAUCCUCCAUGUUUCUACUUAGCUUUUUGAAUAUAUGUAACAACUGUGGCUGUUGUAAUGUUACCUGUUAAUUCUAACAUUGACAUCACAUCCAGGUUUCUUUGUAUGCCUAGUCAUCUUUAGAGGGCAGCCACUGUGAAUUUUAUCUCAUAAGUGCUGGGCAUUUGGGGUUUUUUUUAUAAGUAUUUUUGAGCUUUUUUCUAGGAUACAGUUGUAAUAUGGGAAUGGUUUGAUCCUUCUUGACCUUGCUUUUAUGAUUUGUUGGGUAGGGGGUACCAUAGUAGUGCAACCUAGCGCAAAGCAUUUCCUAUUACUAGGACAAAUUACUACCCAGUGACUUGUGGCUGGUGAGAACUGGCAUUGUUACUAGACCCUUGUGAGCACUGGACAAUGUUUGUUCUCUCUAAUCCUUUUGAAUAUCUCUUUCUUCAGCCUCCAUUUCCUCACAUGUAUGUGCUGCUCAGUACUGAGUUUAAUAAUCUUAAGGGGGAUCAUCUGCAGAUCUCUUCUCAGUGGUACUCUAUCCUGUGAACUCAAGCUAAUUUGGUUUCCCUAGACUCUCAGCUCCACUUUUUCACUCAGUAAGUCUACUGGGCUCUUCCUCAGUUCUUCUUCCUUGCAUCAUGUCCUGGAAACUCCCUCAAGGCAGUAAGCUGGGAAAAUCAUAGGGCUCCAUUUGUUUGUUUCCUCAUCCUCAGGGAUUAUUUUCCUCAUUGUCUGAGGUCAAGUCUUGAAGUCCAUUUUUUGACGUAGUUUGCUUAUUUCGUUCUUUCAGUAAGACAGGUACAUGCAGUCCUCAAUAUUCCAUCUUGGCUGGAAACAGAAGUUAUAUUUAUCUUUUAAGAAAUGACCACUUCUUGAGUUUUUGUGUAGUAUCAGAGAAGAAAAUCUAGAAUUAUCUGAAAACACUAUUACUUUUUCCUUUUCCCAACUACAAUCUGUGUGAGUUGGACUUCACAACAACAUAUUGUAACAAAUGCAGAAUACCACUCUUCUAUAUAAUGUGAAUCUAACCAGAAACCUUAACUUUAUUACCUGGAUCAGAGUUUUACUAGCAGUUUGAGGUAUGUCAUUUCAUCUUAAACUAGGCAACUAAGCUUUCCCCAAUAGAAUUAAAACCAGAACACCCAGAAGUUACAAAAUAGUGAAGUAAAAUGAAGACAUUUUAAGUAGCUAUACAUUUUAUGUAUUUCUCUACUCUUUUGUUUAGAGGUUGAAUGAAAAAGGUGAUCCCUAUGUGGAUUCAUAUAAUCAAUACCCACCCACAUGCUCACAUAAAAGUAUAGGAGUCAUCUGUAACAGCAACUGGGAUUGGGAAAAAACUCUCCUGAGCUAUAUACAAGUGAGCUACAGAAUUCCUGUGAGUUUUUGGCACACGUGCCUGAAAUGUCACAAUUCUUUCUUGUAUAUAUAAUUUCCAUAGACAAAUGAUUUUUAUGAACAGUUUCCAUGAAUGAUAGUAUGCUCAAUAGUUAAGAUCACAAUAUUUGAAAUCAGACUACUUGGGUUCAAACUCCAACUACUUUCUUAUUGUGUGACCUUGAGGAAGUCACUUAAUAUGCAUACUUCAGUGUCCUUUUUUUAUAAAAUGGUAGUAAAAGUGUUAUUUAAAUAGUUGUUUUGAGAAGUAAAUUAGUUAAUGUAAAUUUCUUAAAACCAUGCAUGGUAAAUAAAGCAUUUAGCAACUUAUAUAAAUUUUGCAAUUAUGGUUUCUUUUCAACCCUGUUGGCUAUUAGUCAAUGAACUUUAAAUGCACACAUAUCUGAAAUCUACCCCUAGAGGUACUCAUUUAUGAAGUCUAAGAGAAGGCACAAGUUUGUUGUUUUGUUUUUGAGUCCCACAAGUGAUUCUGAUCACUACAACCUGGCAAGAACUGAAAAUCAUAAUCAGACUUUAAAUUAUCACUUACAGUAAUCAGUGUUAGGCUAAAUUUAAAUUGUUUCUUGAAACAUUUUCUAAUCCUGGAUAGCUCAGGGAAUCAGAUUGCUUCAAGUAGGAGGAGGCAGAAUCUGCCAUCAGAAUAUAUCUAAAUUCAUAAAAUAUUUGAUAAGUAACCACUGAAUAUCAGUACUGGGUAUACAGAGAGAAGUAAGGUGCCUCUGUUCUCAGGAAUGUAAAAGUUAGUGAUAACAGAGUAGCAUAUAAGCACUAUUUCCUAAGGUGUGGUACAUGCCUGCAUACCACUGACUCUUUGUGUAAUAAGCAACCCAAGUCUUCCUGGGAUGAGGUUUGCCUAUCUGCAGCAAGAAAGAGUAGUGACAGAUGAACUUUAUUCUGUAGUAGACUUUCCUGCAAUAAUGGCAUUAUCACUGUCAGCUUUUCUAUAGCCAGCCUGAGCCGAACUUGAGCUGGAAUAGAGCUGCCAGGCCUACCAAUUGCCCUUUCUUUGUGUGGAAACAGAUUUAAUAGAGAUUGGAAAGAGCCAAGCCAGAGAAACUACGCAGCCCUCUGUGUGCUCACCAAAGAGCCACUGACUCCACUAUUUCCAACAAUAGCUAUGAGAAGAAUCGGGAUAGGAAAGGAGAAUUUGAACAGGAGUAACCCUAGAAAACCAAUCAUGUUCAGGUUGAAAUGUGCUGGGCCAUUUACUAUUCCACCUACCAGCCAUAAGUACUGUAAAGUUUCCUUUUAAAGUGAAAAGUCAUCCCUUUAAGAAAAGUAUUCAGUAAAUGGCAGUAUAGGCUGUGUGAAAAUAUGGCAACACUAGGAAGAAAAUACAAAAUAAGAAGUUGUAGAAAUAUUACCAGGACACAUAUACACCUGAAUAACAUAUAUGACAUUACAGGAUUGCCCCCAUGAAACAUCUAAGAAAUGUUACCACCAUCAUCAGAAAGAAAUCAAUUUCAGUGAGAAUGGUCAGGUAUGAGUUUCAAAGAAACUGAGAUUUAUUAGGCUGAGUCUUAAAGAAGGGACAGAAUUGGCUAAAGGCACGGGCUAUAGAGGAAGCAAAUGGCAGGAAGGGAAGAACUUAAACAAAGGAAGAGAUAUCCAAAGCAUAGUAAGAACACAGUGAAGCCACUUUAGAAAAAAUAAAGAAUCUCAGUUCAUCAUUUCUUACAUAGAAAAUUUACCUAUAUUUAUUUAGGGUCUUUAUUAUAUAUUUUUGGACAAAUAAUAAAGGUUACCUAGAAUAUGUUAUUUCACUAUAUACAUGAAUAUACAAUUUUUGAAGUGGUAUAUCUUUAUAUAGCAAUACCUUAAAAUGCAUGAAUUAUAUUGAUACUAUCAUAUAGCUCUAAGACACCAGAGUAGUGGUGAACAUACUAAUAAGUGUUUCACAUCUAUAACUUUCAUCAGGUCUCCUAAAGCCAUUUAGGAUACAUAAAGCAUUCUUACUGCCCUUAUGACUUCUGCUGAGAUUUUCAAUUCUAGUUUAGAGAAUUUUAGACAGGCAAAUAGAAACAACAGAGUAAUAGAGAAAAACAAAUUGGUAAAAGUCAGAAAAUUUAAUCAAAGGAAAAUUUAAUAGUUGUAGGAAAACUGAAAAGAGAAAGAUUCUCAUUUUUAUAUCAUGGAAUGAUAAAAUUCUUUAAUACAAGAAACAAUGAGAUUAUUAAACAGACCUUAAUGUACUUUUUGUUACUAUUUUUUUAGUUUUAUACUAUGAAAUAAUUAAUGCUCCUACAAACAAGUUAUUUUAAAUACUGAUUAAUACUCUGUAGCAAUUGGCAUAAUUGUCUAGGUGUUCAUUAGAAUGAUAGCAAUCAUUCUAAUCACAGAACAGCUUUAACUUGCCUUGUGACUUUCAGAACAGUAUCCAUUUCUCACCCAUACAAUAAAGAAGCUGGACCAGAUGACAUCUAAAGUUUCUGACAAUUCUAAAUGUUAAUAUUGCUAUAUAACUUAGCCAGUCUUUCUUUUUUUCUAAACUUCUUAAAUCAGCAUUUCCCUAAAAUUAGUGAAAGCUUUCCAAAAUGCAUCAUGUUUUAGAAAAUUAAAAUUAAAAUCUAUUUCAGACUAGGAAUUGAAAAUAGCAAUUUCCUUACAAAUAAAUCGAAGUCCUUUAUUUCCCACCAACCACGUUUCUAAGAAAAUGGAAGUAUUUUUAAGAUUCAGAAAUCUAUAAAAUCUUUAAGAUACAGUUACUGAAAGUAAAACUAAAAAAAAAAAAAAAA